rnacentral:rRNA from 1 species
UACGGGGGGAGCAAGCGUUGUUCGGAUUUAUUGGGCGUAAAGAGCGUGUAGGCGGCCAGACAGGUCCGUUGUGAAAACUCGAGGCUCAACCUCGAGAUGUCGAUGGAAACCGUCUGGCUAGAGUCCGGAAGAGGAGUGUGGAAUUCCUGGUGUAGCGGUGAAAUGCGCAGAUAUCAGGAAGAACACCUAUGGCGAAGGCAGCACUCUGGGACGGUACUGACGCUGAGACGCGAAAGCGUGGGGAGCGAACAGG